UGGGGAAUAUUGCACAAUGGGCGAAAGUCUGAUGCAGCAACGCCGCGUGAGUGAUGAAGGCCUUCGGGUUGUAAAGCUCUGUCUUUUGGGACGAUAAUGACGGUACCAAAGGAGGAAGCCACGGCUAACUACGUGCCAGCAGCCGCGGUAAUACGUAGGUGGCAAGCGUUGUCCGGAUUUACUGGGCGUAAAGGAUGCGUAGGCGGAUUUUUAAGUGAGAUGUGAAAUACCCGGGCUUAACUUGGGUGCUGCAUUUCAAACUGGGAAUCUAGAGUGCGGGAGAGGAGAAUGGAAUUCCUAGUGUAGCGGUGAAAUGCGUAGAGAUUAGGAAGAACACCAGUGGCGAAGGCGAUUCUCUGGACCGUAACUGACGCUGAGGCAUGAAAGCGUGGGUAGCAAACAGGAUUAGAUACCCUGGUAGUCCACGCCGUAAACGAUGAGUACUAGGUGUAGGAGGUAUCGACCCCUUCUGUGCCGCAGUUAACACAAUAAGUACUCCGCCUGGGAAGUACGAUCGCAAGAUUAAAACUCAAAGGAAUUGACGGGGUCAUAGCUG
rnacentral:rRNA from 1 species